CAGCGCCACAAGUGGUAACCGUUUUUAUUGGGCCUAAAGCGUUCGUAGCCGGUUCAUUAAAUCUUUUGUGAAAUCGUUAAGCUCAACUUAACGGCGUGCUUAAGAGACUGAUGGACUAGGAACCGGGAGGAGUCAGAGGUAUUUUUGGGGGAGUGGUAAAAUAUUAUAAUCCCAAAAGGACCACCUGUGGCGAAGGCGUCUGACUAGAACGGAUUCGACGGUGAGGGACGAAAGCCAGGGGAGCAAACCGGAUUAGAUACCCGCGUAGUCC
rnacentral:rRNA from 1 species